rnacentral:lncRNA from 1 species
CACACGCACACACACACACACACUCACGCACAUAUACAUACAUACACACCCAGGACACUGAUAUUUGCAUUCCUGCCCCAGCAGGCCUCAAAAAUGAUCCAUCCCUUAAUGAUCACCAUCGUCGUCCUCAACACGUCCAUGUCCGUGAUCUUCUGGACGUUACUUCUGGCCAACUCCUUCUUCAAAGAGUACGAGGAGGAGCCCAAGCCCAAGUCCAACCAGGUCGCUUCUGCGUAGGACGCCGGGCAUCAUGUAGCCUCACCUGUGCUCAGUUUGGCAGUUUUUACAGCUUCUAGCGCUUUAUUUUUAUUUUUAUUUUUCCUUUUUUUUAUUUCUAUUCACUAUUCUAUUUGGAUCAGUUUUUGUGUGCAGCGAUUCUUCACCCUCCAAGAGCUCUUUUAUUAUUAUUUUCUUGGACAUUCAAUUUAAAAAUACAAAAUCUACCAUCUCUCAACUAAAGAUUAGAGGAUCCUACACUCAAAUACAGGACACUACAAUGCUAUAAAGCAGGACUCAGGUCAGCAGAGGUCACCCUGACCUGCACCCCCUCCUUACUGCACGUCCUUCACCAUGGCAGGACACGGUCUUCAUGAGACGCCUCCUACCGUUCCCCCGGUUGAAAAUGAGGUGUUCUUUGAGAGCUACAUCCCACCUGCCCGGGACGCCAUUCACCUGCCCAUACACGUCCUCUACAUGCUCCUCGCCACCAUCGUCAUCUUCAUGACCCUCUACGCCAUCAUUGGUCACCUAAUCAAAGACCUGAUCCAUGAUAUGGCAGAUUUGGUGUUUGGAGAGCAGCCAGAGGAGGUGCAGGUGAACUUCUUGGAGGCGAAGGAUAAGUUCAUGGCAGACUGGUGCCCGGAGACCACCCCAGAACUUGAGGCUCUUGCCCGUGCUGAGGAGAUCAAGGUGGUCAUGGAGGGCAACACCCGGGGCCCGGCGAUCUGGGUCAUCUCAGAUGAACCACGGCCCCCCCGCACUGGACCACGCGUGGCAUUUGGCAAAAACACAUAAACAGACUUUGGCUUCUUUCAGACACACACUGUCUACUCUGUAAAUACUUUUUUCCACAAAUAUUCUAU